rnacentral:rRNA from 1 species
GAUGAACGCUGGCGGCGUGCCUAAUACAUGCAAGUCGAGCGGACGCACGAGAAGCUUGCUUUUCUGAUGUUAGCGGCGGACGGGUGAGUAACACGUGGAUAACCUACCUAUAAGACGGGGAUAACGUCGGGAAACCGGAUCUAAUACCGGAUAAUAUUUUCAACCGCAUGGUUCAAGAGUUAAUGACGGUCUUCCUGUCACUUAUAGAUGAAUCCGCGCUGCAUUAGCUAGUUGGUAAGGUAACGGCUUACCAACGCAACGAUGCAUAUCCGACCUGAGAGGGUGAUCGGCCAACAUGGAACCGGGACACGGUCCAGGAUCCUACGGGAGGCCGCAGUAGGGAAUCUUCCGCAAAGGGCGACAGCCUGACGGCGCACAGCCGCGUGAGGGAUGAAGGUCUUCGGAUCGUAAAACUCUGUUAUUAGGGAAGAAAAUAUGUGAAAGUAAUUCUGCACAUCUUGACCGUAACUAAUAAGAAAGCCACGGCCAAACACGUGC